rnacentral:rRNA from 1 species
AGUGAACGCUGGCGGCGGGCCUAAUACAUGCAAGUCGAGCGGAAGCAGGUGCAUCGGGCUGCCGGGGAGUGGGGGGCGGGUGGGGGAUAAAUAGGUAUAUGACCUGUCGAGGGGGAUAGGAUAGGGAAAGUUAAGCUAAUACAGCAUACGAUAAUAGGGUGAAAGGGGGGGAUCAAAAGAGAAAGAGGGUCUGGAUGUGACGGUUAGAGGGAUCCAAGUUGGAUUAGCUAGUUGGUAAGGUAACGGCCUACCAAGGCAACGAUGAAUAGCUGACCUGAGAGGAUGAUCGGCCACACUGGAACUGAGACACGGUCCAGACUCCUACGGGAGGCAGCAGUAGGGAAUCUUCGACAAUGGGCGCAAGCCUGAUCCAGCCACGCCGCGUGAGUGAUGAAGGUCUUCGGAUCGUAAAGCUCUGUUGUCAGGGAAGAACACAUCUGUACUAAACUCCCGGGCUCAUGACGGUACCUAAAGAAUAAGCACCGGCUAACUACGUG